AGGAAAUAGAUACCCCCGGUAGUCCCAGCCGUAAACGAUGCUCGCUAGGUGUCAGGCAUGGCGCGACCGUGUCUGGUGCCGCAGGGAAGCCGUGAAGCGAGCCACCUGGGAAGUACGGCCGCAAGGCUGAAACUUAAAGGAAUUGGCGGGGGAGCACAACAACGGGUGGAGCCUGCGGUUUAAUUGGACUCAACGCCGGACAACUCACCGGGGGCGACAGCAAUAUGUAGGCCAAGCUGAAGACUUUGCCUGAAUCGCUGAGAGGAGGUGCAUGGCCGUCGCCAGUUCGUACUGUGAAGCAUCCUGUUAAGUCAGGCAACGAGCGAGACCCGUGCCCACUGUUACCAGCAUGUCCUCCGGGACGAUGGGUACUCUGUGGGGACCGCCUAUGUUAAAUAGGAGGAAGGUGCGGGCCACGGUAGGUCAGUAUGCCCCGAAUCUCCGGGCUACACGCGGGCUACAAUGGAUGGGACAAUGGGUCCCUACUCCGAAAGGAGCUGGUAAUCUCACAAACCCAUUCGUAGUUCGGAUCGAGGGCUGUAAC
rnacentral:rRNA from 1 species